rnacentral:rRNA from 1 species
GAUGAACGCUGGCGGCGUGUCUAAGGCAUGCAAGUCGAAUGGUCUGGUUUCCAGGCCAUGGCAAACGGGAGAGUAACACAUUGGUAAUUUACCCCAAAGACGAGAAUAAUCCAGAGAAAUCUGGAAUAAUACUCGAUAUUAUGCAUUGUCGCCUGACAAUGCAUCAAAGCUCCGGCGCUUUGGGAGAAGCCUAUGGUCUAUCAGCUAGUUGGUGGGGUAAUGGCCUACCAAGGCGAUGACGGAUAGCGGGUGUGAGAGCAUGACCCGUCUCACUGGGACUGAGACACUGCCCAGACUCCUACGGGAGGCAGCAGUCGAGAAUAGUCUACAAUGGCCGGAAGGCUGAUAGUGCGACGCCGCGUGAACGAGGGAGCCCUUCGGGGUGUAAAGUUCUUUUCUAUACGAGCAGUGCUAUAUAUAUGGAUAGGUAUAUAUAGAGGGAUAGGUAGUAUAGGAAUAAGCAACGGCUAACUCCGU